rnacentral:rRNA from 1 species
AANNUAAGCAUAUCAAUAAGCGGAGGAAAAGAAACCAACAGGGAUUGCCCCAGUAACGGCGAGUGAAGCGGCAACAGCUCAAAUUUGAAAUCUGGUCCCUAGGGCCCGAGUUGUAAUUUGUAGAGGAUGCUUUUGGUGAGGUGCCGCCCGAGUUCCCUGGAACGGGACGCCACAGAGGGUGAGAGCCCCGUCUGGCUGGCCGCCGAGCCUCUGUAAAGCUCCUUCGACGAGUCGAGUAGUUUGGGAAUGCUGCUCAAAAUGGGAGGUAUAUGUCUUCUAAAGCUAAAUAUUGGCCAGAGACCGAUAGCGCACAAGUAGAGUGAUCGAAAGAUGAAAAGCACCUUGAAAAGAGGGUUAAAUAGUACGUGAAAUUGUUGAAAGGGAAGCGCUUGUGACCAGACUUGGGCGCGGCGGAUCAUCCGGGGUUCUCUCCGGUGCACUUCGCCGCGUCUAGGCCAGCAUCAGUUCGUCGCGGGGGAAAAAGGCUUCGGGAACGUGGCUCCUCCGGGAGUGUUAUAGCCCGUUGCAUAAUACCCUGCGGUGGACUGAGGACCGCGCAUCUGCAAGGAUGCUGGCGUAAUGGUCACCAGCGACCCGUCUUGAAACACGGACCAAGGAGUCGUCUUCGUAUGCGAGUGUUCGGGUGUCAAACCCCUACGCGUAAUGAAAGUGAACGCAGGUGAGAGCUUCGGCGCAUCAUCGACCGAUCCUGAUGUUCUCGGAUGGAUUUGAGUAAGAGCAUACGGGGCCGGACCCGAAAGAAGGUGAACUAUGCCUGUAUAGGGUGAAGCCAUAGGAUACUCUNNUGNNUNCUCUGCNGCCNUUCU